UCGCCAGCUCUCCCACAAUGCACAGCGCCACCGGGGGCGGGUCCGCAGCGCACGCGCGCACGAUUCUUCCGCUGCUGGCGCGCGCUGUAUCCUGGAACCGUAGUCGGGAUCUCCGGACCCUGACUCGAGUUGUAGAUGAGGAAAUUGAGGCCAAUAAGGUGAAGUGCCAAGAUCACAGCUAUUAUGUGUCUGCAGCCAGCUUUGAAUUUGGAAAUUCUUCUGAUUCUAGGCUUGGCAUACUGUGCCAUCCAGCUGCCCCUAGUAACAACAGGCACAUAAUAAUAGAUGUUUACUAAAUGCUUUAUUAUUCACCAGGUCCAUGUUUCUUCAUCAGUAGCCCCAGAGAAAGAUGGGCAUUGUGGUCAUCUUUGAUCUGGGCAUGGAUUUGGUGUGUGGGCAGGAGAUGGAGGGAAAAUUUUAAGCAAGUCUGCACCACAGUGGACAGUGGACAGAAAUAGUAAGAGACUUGGAGGGAUAAGGCAGGGUCCCUGCCAUUUUUCUUACCAAGCCUUUAAACUGUUUCUUUAUUCUUAUUUUGCUUUACAUAAAAUCUGUGAUCAGU